UAAGCAAUCAGGAAGGGGUUCCAAGCAGUCGGUUCCAAAUCGGAAGAUUGAUACCAAGUGCUGGUUGAUUGCUCUCUUUCUCCUUGUCCCAAAACAACGACAAGAAGAAGGACAGGGAGAAAGCAUGAUAUGAGAUACUCUUGCUUUCAACCUUCAUGAUAUGAAAUACUUUUUCUUUGGAUGAGUUCUUUGCAGAGGUACCCCAAGGAAUAAGGAACACUGAGUGACUCGAGAGGGUUUGUUCGAAAGGCAUUCUCGGAGAAAAAGAAGGGUUAUGUCUGUCUGCCUUGCAAUGGAGGGUGAAGGGUGACAUUUAUAGAAAUUAAUAGCCGGUAGUAUUCUUUCACUCUUGUCAGGAACCGUUGGAUGAUUUAAUAGUAAACUUCACGUGCUUUCUACUUCACAAGAGAUCUUCGACAGAUUGCCCGUAAUUUCCGCAAAGCUGAGUCUGCAUGUGACAGGCCCUGACACAUUUGAAAAAAAACAAGUGCCUCUUCGAUAUCUGGAAUCGACGCUUCGACAAACUGC
rnacentral:lncRNA from 1 species